AGCGAACGCUGGCGGCAGGCUUAACACAUGCAAGUCGAGCGGGCACUCUCGGGUGUCAGCGGCGGACGGGUGAGUAACGCGUGGGAACGUGCCCUCUGGUUCGGAAUAACUCAGGGAAACUUGAGCUAAUACCGGAUACGCCCUUUUGGGGAAAGGCUUGCUGCCGGAGGAUCCGCCCGCGCCUGAUUACCUAGUUGGUGAGGUAACGGCGCACCAAGGCGACGAUCAGUAGCUGGUCUGAGAGGAUGAUCAGCCACACUGGGACUGAGACACGGCCCAGACUCCUACGGGAGGCAGCAGUGGGGAAUAUUGGACAAUGGGCGCAAGGCUGAUCCAGCCAUGCCGCGUGAGUGAUCAAGGCCUUAGGGUUGUAAAGCUCUUUUAUCCGGGACGAUAAUGACGGUACCGGAGGAAUAAGCCCCGGCUAACUUCGUG
rnacentral:rRNA from 1 species